GCACCGCCCCCUGCUGGGCGCCGGAGCCAAAUGUCACUAAAGGUCAUUAAAGGUCAUUGAAUGGGGAAAGGCCCGAGCCCCUCACGCGGCCGCGCGCGGGCUCCAGGAGGAAUUUUGGAUCUGCGGAGGAAUUUCUUCUCAGAAGAAGCGUGUUUCUGCUCAGAAUUCUGAGAAGAAUUUCUUCUCAGAAAGCGCGAUUGGGCUCUGAAAUGGGCUGCCCAGGGGGCUGGCAUCCGUCCCUUGGGAAAUCCACAGCAAAGUUAAGAUUUAACUUCAUGCUGCAGAGUCCUCCCACCGUGUGACACCUGCUGAUCUCUCCAGCCAACCUCCUUUCUCCUGCCGCUGGCCCCAGGGCAGCCCAGGGUGGGCACAGGGACACGGAACAGCUGCUGUUACAAAUGCCUGCUCUUGUGUUGAAAGCAGAGGGCAGCAUCCAGGACUCCCCCAUCUCCUGUCUGCAUCCAGAUGAAAGCAAUCCCCACCUCAUUCCAGGAGCCAGAAGUUUGCUGCAUGGUUUUUCCUCCUCCUGUGCCACCGUAGCUCUAAGUCAGCAGGAGCUGGGGUGGCUGCCAGGGAACAGCUUGUGGCCACAUUGCUUCAGCCUCAUUUCCUCCUGGGAGGAUCCAUGCUGUGACACGCUUCCCCAGCUCUCCUGGGUGGCACCAUAUGGUGGCCCCUUAAAUUGUAAUCUCUGUUCUUAACGUUCAUUUAAUUCAAAAUGCUUGAAAUAAACUGAGGCCUGGUAGCAGCCCUUCUGAGUGGCAUUUAGUGGCAGUACAGGGGGACUGUGCUGCGUGCUCGGCGGUGUGAGAACCUCUGUGGUGCAUGGUGAACUGGCUCUGUUCAUUUUGGAGGACAGCCUGGGGAGGAUGGUGCCACAGUCUGAUCUGUGCUGGUCACACAGCAGCCUCCAGGGCCCUGUCCUGCCUUCUUCCUGGUGGGAAGCAGUCAAUUAACUCCAGGUGAAAGCACACAAGUGGAUGAACAUAUUCAGAUGUGAAUGACAAGGGACCAGAUCCUGAGACUGGGCUGAAGAAUUAGGUUAUCAAACAGAACAGAUGUAGUCUUAGUUCCUUUUCCAUAUUUAAAAUCUAAACCACCAGGUUCACUCCAGAUGCAUCCUCCCAUUCUAAAUAUGAAUAAAUACACUAUACUCUGUUUUAAACUGGCCAGCAGGAACAAUCUUUUCUCUCAUUAUUCUUUGUUUUAUGUUUCCAUUUAUUUAUCUUCUCCCAUUUUUCUUCCUGUCCUCCCCACUCUCAUUCAAUUUACUUAUCCAAGCAUUUUUUAAAUCAGUAUUCCUCUCUUCCUUUUCUCAGGUCCACGUUGCUUCUCUGCAUUUCUCAUUGAAAAUGUCUCUAUUUUGAUCUAUGACUCCCAUCCCUUCUGACUACUUCCCAUUCAGUUCUAGUAGUUUCACCUUUAGACAGCAACACAGAUGGGGAAUAAAAAACUUAAUUGUACUGUCAAAAUCCUUCAGAUGAGUUGUAUCCUUUGGAGACACUGCAGUUUGGAAGAGAGGCAGUUUUCUAGGAUCUUCCAGAUGUUUUGCUUCUAGUAGGGAUAGAAAAAUUGAUUAAGAAAGUGUAUUUUCUGUUCGUCAUUCUGAUUGCUUUUCUGCAUUAUUAUUUGGGAAACACCAACCUCUUGAAGGAGAAGGAUGCCUGUUAACAAAGUUAUAAUGUCGUUUUUCAUGCUCAAAUUUUUUUAUUUUUUUAUGCCUCUGUGCUUCUCAUU